rnacentral:rRNA from 1 species
AGUGAACGCUGGCGGUAGCCCUAACACAUGCAAGUCGAACGGCAGCACAGUAAGAGCUUGCUCUUACGGGUGGCGAGUGGCGGACGGGUGAGGAAUACAUCGGAAUCUACUUUUUCGUGGGGGAUAACGUAGGGAAACUUACGCUAAUACCGCAUACGACCUACGGGUGAAAGCAGGGGAUCUUCGGACCUUGCGCGAUUGAAUGAGCCGAUGUCGGAUUAGCUAGUUGGCGGGGUAAAGGCCCACCAAGGCGACGAUCCGUAGCUGGUCUGAGAGGAUGAUCAGCCACACUGGAACUGAGACACGGUCCAGACUCCUACGGGAGGCAGCAGUGGGGAAUAUUGGACAAUGGGCGCAAGCCUGAUCCAGCCAUACCGCGUGAGUGAAGAAGGCCUUCGGGUUGUAAAGCCCUUUUGUUGGGAAAGAAAAGCAGCAGGUUAAUACCCCGCUGUUCUGACGGUACCCAAAGAAUAAGCACCGGCUAACUUCGUG